rnacentral:rRNA from 1 species
AUUGAACGCUGGCGGAAGGCUUACCACAUGCAAGUCGAGCGAGCGGCGGCCGGGUGAGUAAUGUCUGGUAAACUGCCUGAUGGAGGGGGAUAACUACUGGAAACGGUAGCUAAUACCGCAUACCAUCAGAUCUGCCCAGAUGGGAUUAGCUAGUAGGUGGGGUAAUGGCUCACCUAGGCGACGAUCCCUACCUGGUCUGAGAGGAUGACCAGCCACACGGGAACUGAGACACGGUCCAGACUCCUACGGGAGGCAGCAGUGGGGAAUAUUGCACAAUGGGCGCAAGCCUGAGACAGCCAUGCCGCGUGUGUGAAGAAGGCCUUCGGGUUGUAAAGCACUUUCAGCGAGGAGGCGUUACUCGCAGAAGAAGCACCGGCUAACUCCGUGCCAGCAGCCGCGGUAAUUC